rnacentral:tmRNA from 1 species
GGGCUUGACUGGAUUUGACAGCGGGUUGGAAUGGUACGUAAGCAUGCAGUGCGUGGUCGAUUGGCACUAUAAUCCCAGUCUUCGAACUUUUAUCUGGCAACGAAAAUUAUGCUCUCGCUGCUUAAUCGAAGUACAGUAGAUUAGCUUUAUUUCCACCACAGUGGUGGAAACGAGAUGUCACUCAAAAGCUCUUGUUCCGAAGCGUUUGGUAAAGUGGCACAGCAAAAUCGGGAAUAGUCGGGGUUGAGUCUCGCGGCCCUGAUGAAGUUUUAGAGACUAAGGCGUAGGUUGGUGGCUCUGGUCUUGCCUCCGCUCGAAAACUCAAGGCAGAGAUAAGCAUGUAGAAAGCGUAUGGUUUCCUCGUUUGGACGGGAGUUCGAUUCUCCCCAGGUCCACU